UUUGAAAUCUGGUGGCCUCAGGUCAUCCGAGUUGUAAUCUAUAGAAGUGUUUUCCGUGCUGGCUCAUGUACAAGUCCCUUGGAACAGGGCGUCAUAGAGGGUGAGAAUCCCGUCCUUGACAUGAACUACCAGUGCUCUGUGAUACAUUUUCAACGAGUCGAGUUGUUUGGGAAUGCAGCUCAAAAUGGGUGGUAAAUUCCAUCUAAAGCUAAAUAUUGGCGAGAGACCGAUAGCGAACAAGUACCGUGAGGGAAAGAUGAAAAGCACUUUGGAAAGAGAGUUAAACAGUAUGUGAAAUUGUUGAAAGGGAAACGAUUGAAGUCAGUCGUGCUCUUUGGAUUCAGCCGGUUCUGCCGGUGUACUUCCUUUGAGUGGGGUCAACAUCAGUUUUGAUCGCUGGAUAAAGGCUGGAGGAACGUAGUACCCUCGGGUAAACUUAUAGCCUCCUGUCACAUACAGUGGUUGGGACUGAGGAACGCAGCACGCCUUUAUGGCCGGGAUUCGUCCACGUACGUGCUUAGGAUGUUGACAUAAUGGCUUUAAACG
rnacentral:rRNA from 1 species